rnacentral:rRNA from 1 species
AGGCGCAAGAAUAUUGAGAAGAUCUGCCUUAGUACGAGAGGACCGGGAUGGACAAACCUCUGAUGUACCAGUUGUCACGCCAGUGGCACAGCUGGGUAGUCACGUUUGGCAUAGAUAACCGCUGAAAGCAUCUAAGCGGGAAACUAGCUUCAAGAU